UGGCUAUGGGUCCUGGGGCGCGGCUGGCGGCGCUGCUGGCGGUGCUGGCGCUCGGGACAGGAGACCCAGAAAGGGCUGCGGCUCGGGGCGACACGUUCUCGGCGCUGACCAGCGUCGCGCGCGCCCUGGCGCCCGAGCGCCGGCUGCUGGGGCUGCUGAGGCGGUACCUGCGCGGGGAGGAGGCGCGGCUGCGGGACCUGACUAGAUUCUAUGACAAGGUACUUUCUUUGCAUGAGGAUUCAACAACCCCUGUGGCUAACCCUCUGCUUGCAUUUACUCUCAUCAAACGCCUGCAGUCUGACUGGAAGAAUGUGGUACAUAGUCUGGAGGCCAGUGAGAACAUCCGAGCUCUGAAGGAUGGCUAUGAGAAGGUGGAGCAAGACCUUCCAGCCUUUGAGGACCUUGAGGGAGCAGCAAGGGCCCUGAUGCGACUGCAGGACGUGUACAUGCUCAGUGUGAAAGGCCUGGCCCGAGGUGUCUUUCAGAGAGUCACUGGCUCCGCCAUCACUGACCUGUACAGCCCCAAACGGCUCUUUUCUCUCACAGGGGAUGACUGCUUCCAAGUCGGCAAGGUGGCCUAUGACAUGGGGGAUUAUUACCAUGCCAUUCCAUGGCUGGAGGAGGCUGUCAGUCUCUUCCGAGGAUCUUACGGAGAGUGGAAGACAGAGGAUGAGGCAAGUCUAGAAGAUGCCUUGGAUCACUUGGCCUUUGCUUAUUUCCAGGCAGGAAAUGUUUCAUGUGCCCUCAGCCUCUCUCGGGAGUUUCUUCUCUACAGCCCAGAUAAUAAGAGGAUGGCCAGGAAUGUCUUGAAAUAUGAAAGGCUCUUGGCAGAGAGCCCCAACCAGGUGGUAGCUGAGGCUGUCAUCCAGAGGCCCAAUAUACCCCACCUGCAGACCAGAGACAUCUACGAGGGGCUAUGUCAGACCCUGGGUUGCCAGCCCACUCUCUACCAGAUCCCUAGCCUCUACUGUUCCUAUGAGACCAAUUCCAAUGCCUACCUGCUGCUCCAGCCCAUCCGGAAAGAGGUCAUCCACCUGGAGCCCUACAUUGCUCUCUACCAUGACUUUGUCAGUGACUCAGAGGCUCAGAAAAUUAGAGAACUUGCAGAACCAUGGCUACAGAGGUCCGUGGUGGCAUCAGGGGAGAAGCAGUUACAAGUGGAGUACCGCAUCAGCAAAAGUGCCUGGCUGAAAGACACUGUUGACCCAAUGCUGGUGACCCUCAACCACCGCAUUGCUGCCCUCACAGGCCUUGAUGUCCGGCCUCCCUAUGCAGAGUAUCUGCAGGUGGUGAACUAUGGCAUCGGAGGACACUAUGAGCCUCACUUUGACCACGCUACGUCACCAAGCAGCCCCCUGUAUAGAAUGAAGUCAGGAAACCGAGUUGCAACAUUUAUGAUCUAUCUGAGCUCGGUGGAAGCUGGAGGAGCCACAGCCUUCAUCUAUGCCAACCUCAGCGUGCCUGUGGUUAGGAAUGCAGCACUGUUUUGGUGGAACCUGCACAGGAGUGGUGAAGGGGACAGUGACACACUUCAUGCUGGCUGUCCUGUCCUGGUGGGAGAUAAGUGGGUGGCCAACAAGUGGAUACAUGAGUAUGGACAGGAAUUCCGCAGACCCUGCAGCUCCAGCCCUGAAGACUGAACUGUUGGCAGAGAGAAGCUGGUGGAGUCCUGUGGCUUUCCAGAGAAGCCAGGAGCCAAAAGCUGGGUCUUGAAAUGCAAAUAAGGAACCACUUCACACUUCCUAGGAUGGAUACAAUUAAAAAACAGAAAAUAAGUGUCACUACGGAUGUGGAGAAACUGGAACUCUUAUGCGUUGCUGGUGGGAGUGUGAAAUGGUGCAGCCACUGUGGAAAAUGGAUUGGUGAUUUCUCAGAAAGAUAAACAUAGAACUGUCAUCCAACCCAGUUAUUCCACUCCCAGGUAUGUAUCCAAAAGAAUGGAAUGAUAGCUGUACACCCAUGGUCAUAGCAGCUUUAUUCACAAUCGUCAAAAGGUGGAAGCAAACCCAGGUGUCCAUCAAGAGAAUGGCUAAACAAAAUAUGGAAUAUGCAUUUAAUAAAAUAUUCAGCCAUAAAAUGGAACAGAAUUUUGAUACACACUACAACAUGGAUGGACUUGAAAGCAUUAUGCUAAAUGAAAUAAGCCAGACACAAAAUAAAUAUUGUAGGAUUCCACCUAUGAGCUACCUAAAAUAGGCAAAUUCAGAGACCAAAAGCAGAAUAGAGGUUAGGGAUGCAGGUAGGAGUUAUUGCUUA